CAAAUUCUACAAAGUGAAACACAUUCAUCUGCCAGAUUUUAUUCCUGCGAAUUCCAAGGACUGGUUGAUUCUUCAAUAUGGUGAACAGCUGUUCUAAAGCCUGCAACUUACCUUCCUCAGGAGGCCACUGUUUAACCGAUGUUGCUUUCUCAGUUAACAAUUUUAAAAAAUUAUGAGUUCCUGGGACUGCAGGAAUGUUAAUCUUGGUAUUCCAUUGCUGCAGUAAGUCACAAACCCAUAAAUUUACAGCAAUAUUAGCCACAUAUGGCCUCAGCUUCCUUCUUUGACAUUCUGGCCCAAUGCAGUCAAUUGUGCAAUCAAAUCAUGCUUUGUUUGCCUUGAGAUAUGGUCCCAAUUUGUUGUAAAUGAACAUCUUCCUCUUUAAAAGGCCAAAUAUGGAUGCCAAGGUUCUGGAGUCAGGAGACUCACAUCCACACCUGUGUCUAUCAAACCAACAAUUACAAUACCAUUUAUAUGCACUCUUAGCUUUGGUCUUUGAUCGUUUAUAGAAGUCUGCUAGAAUAUAUGUUUCCUAUUUCCUAUUGGAAUUUUUGACUUAUCCUCCAUGUUUAUGUCAUCAUCUAGAACAUUAUGGUAUUUUACAGAAGGCUUUGGAUUUUUUUAAUUUUCCU